rnacentral:snoRNA from 1 species
AUGCGAGCUAUGAUGAUGAAAGAAGGACUGAAUUAUCAAUGUAUGUUGAUUCAAUAAAGCAUUAUAUAGUCUUUCGCUCCUAUCUGAGUUCUACG